UCACUCCAGGACCCUGCAGUACCUGACCCGGAGACUCCCAGAGGACGCCCUCCAGAGGUGGGACGGUGUCCUGACGGGCCUGCAGGACGAGGUGGCCCGACAGCAGCAGCUCGCUCUGGAGAAGGGAACCAGGAUGCAGGAAACACUACAGGUGUGGUGUCAGUGGGAGGAGGACGUUGCCUGGGCCGACUCCCUGCUGAAGGGAACUACAUCUCCCAGGAUGCACCAGGGGGGUGACAGUGAGGAGCUGUUAUCUGAGGAGCUCUCUGGCCUCCAGCUCGGAGAAGUUCUGCAGGAGAACGAGGCGCGGCUCGGUUGGGCGCUGGAGGCGGGGC